UAAUUGAAGAGGAGUUGCAGAGACGACUCAUCAUCAUACGAGCCUUAGUUACACAGACGACUAAGAAACUAAAAUAGCAGCAACGGUAGAGAGAGAUUAGCUCUCUAAAAGCUUUUGGCAUAGAGAGAAGCGAGAGGAAUGGAUUUGCAGGCAGUGAAGCAAUCGCUCGAGAGCACGGGUGAGAGCCUCUCAGCCUCGGUUGAUUCAUUGCCUGGUCGCUUCUUUGACUCCUUCAUACUUCAUGGUCUCAAAAUUGAUACCAUAGAGCCUGGGCGCGUCAUCUGUUCAUUCAAAGUGCCCCAACGCUUAGUGAACACAGGUAAUUUCUUGCAUGGAGGGGCCACGGCAUCUCUGGUCGACAUUGUUGGAUCAGCGGCAUUGAUGGCUGCGGGUGCUUUAACCUCUGGUGUUUCUGUUGAAAUCAACAUUUCUUAUUUGGAUGCUGCUUUUCUUGGGGAAGGGGUUGAGAUUGAAGCCAAUGUUUUGCGAAUGGGUAAGGCGAUUGGGGUCGUGAAUGUUGACUUGAGGAAGAAGAAGACAGAUGUGGAAAGACAAAGUUAUGUAUCCAUCUAGCUCUUUUUCUACACGAUCUUCUACUCUUUCUAUGGGUGUUCUAGGACUUGAACCUGAGAUUUUGCGUUGUUACCACUAUUGCCCAAUCUGCAGUUUGGAUGGUAUUUACAUGGUUUGCAGAACACCUUAUGAAGAAUAUGUAAAAGCUUAAAAGCUCUUCAGUGAAGAGAAGGAUGCAUCGUUUUUCUUCCUUUUUGUUGAUCUGCUUCUUUUCCCUUUCUUCUAUGCACCAUCUAUAAUGAAGGCCAUAUAUAUAUAGUAUGGAGGUCUUGUACUUGUUGUUUUAUGGUAUGACUCUAAAAUAUUGCGGUGUAGAGUAAA